rnacentral:rRNA from 1 species
AGCCUGCGGUUUAAUUGGACUCAACGCCGGGCAGCUCACCGGAUAAGACAGCUGAUGAUAGCCGGGCUGAAGACUCUGCUUGACUAGCUGAGAGGAGGUGCAUGGCCGUCGUCAGUUCGUACUGUGAAGCAUCCUGUUAAGUCAGGCAACGAGCGAGACCCACGCCAACAGUUGCCAGCAUGUCCUCCGGGAUGAUGGGGACACUGUUGGGACCGCCUCUGCUAAAGAGGAGGAAGGAAUGGGCAACGGUAGGUCAGCAUGCCCCGAAUUAUCCGGGCUACACGCGGGCUACAAUGGUCAGGACAAUGGGUAUCGACACCGAGAGGUGGAGGCAAUCUCCUAAACCUGUCCUUAGUUCGGAUUGUGGGCUGCAACUCGCCCACAUGAAGCUGGAAUCCGUAGUAAUCGCGUUUCAAAAUAGCGCGGUGAAUAUGUCCCUGCUCCUU